rnacentral:rRNA from 1 species
GAAACGACUGCUAAGACUGGAUAGGAAAUAAAAAGGCAUCUUUUUAUUUUUAAAAGACCUUUUUCGGAAGGUAUGCUUAAAGAGGGGCUUGCGUCACAUUAGUUAGUUGGCAGGGUAAAGGCCUACCAAGACUAUGAUGUGUAGCUGGACUGAGAGGUUGAACAGCCACAUUGGGACUGAGACACGGCCCAAACUCCUACGGGAGGCAGCAGUAGGGAAUUUUCGGCAAUGGAGGAAACUCUGACCGAGCAACGCCGCGUGAACGAUGAAGUAUUUCGGUAUGUAAAGUUCUUUUAUUGAAGAAGAAAAAAUAGUGGAAAAACUAUCUUGACGAUAUUCAAUGAAUAAGCCCCGGCAAACUAUGUGCCAGCAGCCGCGGUAAUACAUAGGGGGCGAGCGUUAUCCGGAAUUAUUGGGCGUAAAGGGUGCGUAGGCGGUUUAAUAAGUCUAUAGUUUAAUUUCAGUGCUUAACACUGUCCUGCUAUAGAAACUAUUAGACUAGAGUGAGAUAGAGGCAAGUGGAAUUCCAUGUGUAGCGGUAAAAUGCGUAAAUAUAUGGAGGAACACCAGAGGCGUAGGCGGCUUGCUGGGUCUUUACUGACGCUGAGGCACGAAAGCGUGGGGAGCAAACAGGAUUAGAUACCCUGGUAGUCCACGCCGUAAACGAUGAGUACUAAGUGUCGGGAUUACUCGGUACUGAAGUUAACACAUUAAGUACUCCGCCUGAGUAGUACGUACGCAAGUAUGAAACUUAAAGGAAUUGACGGGACUCCGCACAAGCGGUGGAUCAUGUUGUUUAAUUCGAAGAUACACGAAAAACCUUACCAGGUCUUGACAUACUCUGCAAAGCUAUAGCAAUAUAGUGGAGGUUAUCAGGGAUACAGGUGGUGCAUGGUUGUCGUCAGCUCGUGUCGUGAGAUGUUAGGUUAAGUCCUAAAACGAGCGCAACCCUUGUCAUUAGUUGCCAGCAUGUCAUGAUGGGCACUUUAAUGAGACUGCCAAUGAAAAAUUGGAGGAAGGUGAGGAUCACGUCAAAUCAUCAUGCCCCUUAUGAUCUGGGCUACAAACGUGAUACAAUGGCUGUUACAAAGAGUAGCUGAAACGCAAGUUUAUAGCCAAUCUCAUAAAAGCAGUCUCAGUUCGGAUUGAAGUCUGCAACUCGACUUCAUGAAGUUGGAAUCGCUAGUAAUCGCGAAUCAGCAUGUCGCGGUGAAUACGUGCACGGGGUUUGUACACACCGCCCGUCA